GAUGAACGCUGGCUACAGGCUUAACACAUGCAAGUCGAGGGGAAACGACGGGGAAGCUUGCUUCCCCGGGUGUCGACCGGCGCACGGGUGAGUAACGCGUAUCCAACCUGCCUCUGACUGAGGGAUAACCCGUCGAAAGUCGGCCUAAUACCUCAUGGCAUCGUCUGCGGGCAUCCAACGACGAUUAAAGAUUUCAUCGGUCAGGGAUGGGGAUGCGUCUGAUUAGCUAGUUGGCGGGGUAACGGCCCACCAAGGCUACGAUCAGUAGGGGUUCUGAGAGGAAGGUCCCCCACAUUGGAACUGAGACACGGUCCAAACUCCUACGGGAGGCAGCAGUGAGGAAUAUUGGUCAAUGGGCGAGAGCCUGAACCAGCCAAGUAGCGUGCAGGAAGACGGCCCUAUGGGUUGUAAACUGCUUUUAUGCGGGGAUAAAGUGAGGGACGUGUCCUUCAUUGCAGUACCGCAUGAAUAAGACC
rnacentral:rRNA from 1 species